UCAGAACAGCCAUGACUGGAGGAGAGGGGAAAGCUGCAGACACACAGGGACCACCUGUGACUAGGACUUUUCGAGACCUAGAGGCGGAUGAUGAGAACUGAGGCUCGAUUGCUUCUCUAGGGAAAUGUGGCAGGUCUUGCGGCAAAGUGCUGAAAAAUGCACCCCAAAAGGAUCCUCUUCUCUGGGGCCUCUGGGGUAAAGGAAAACAAAGACCACAAGGCAGAACGCUGACGGAAGCUAACUCCUCUGGCUGCUCUCCUCUCCCCACUGACCUCAUGGAACUUGGAUGCGGCCACAUGCUUCUCGGAAAAAUUCCUUCACCUCUUUCUCACAAGUGUCGCUGCUGCACAGGCUUAAAACCAUCUUUAUGAGCUCAGAGCCCUGAAUUUCAAGUUGGCAAAAUGAAGAGAGAAAAAAAAAAGGAAGCAACACUCAGAAAACAACAAAAACAACAACAGAAUAAAGAGGAAACAAACACAGCUCAAUACGUUAUGAAAAUCUUCAUGAGUCUGGGAAUCUUUUAAUUCAAAAAAUUACUUAACGUCCAUGAUUUGAGAGGCAUUUAAACAGCAACACAUUUAUACAUAUGGUUACAAUUUAUAUUUUUCAGUAAUCUACAUCACCUUCAGAUCUUUUGCCUGUCCUAUGUGUUUUAUCCUAGUGAAUUCCUGCACUUAGCACUCCAUCUGAUGAAACGGGUGCUCAUUUCUCAAAGGGGUUUGCUAAAUAUCACCACCACUGACUACAAACCUAGACCUGCAGAGACAAAUCUCAUCGUACGUUCUGAUCAUGAGUGGUCAGCGCCUUCCUUAGAGAGCCCAGUCUCCACACCCAUGCAAGGGUGACCCCUCCACUGAGGCUGCAAAUUCUGAUGUCCAGCAGCUGACCAGUCCCAGUUCUUAGCAGGCUCCAUGGGUCCAGAUCUUUCAGUGUUUUAAAGGACACUAGAGAAUGUAGAAACCGCCUAAUUUUGGAAACUUUGAAUGUAAAAAAAAAAAAAAUAGAAAACUAAACUAUGUGAGAAACACUGUCAGAGCCAAUCAAAGCAGGUUUUCUGCCUAGAGGUGACCCUCCGAUUGCAAUUUUCAGCCUCUGCUCCCAGGACUUUUGAGGACUGAUGUUCCAGGCACCCCAAGGGGACACCUUCUUGAUCAGAUCCCGAGGACUGCGAUGCAGAAACUCCAGAAUGGAAGAGUUGCUGGGUGCUUCUGAGAUGCUUCACCAUCGCUGUACGUCUUGUCGAGGCAAACAGCAUAUGCUCUUACUCGGUAAUUUCCCUUAUCUGACACUCUCAUUAUUUGGAUAUUUCCACCAGUUCCUAAGAAUAUAAGAAUUUGCAGUCUACUGUAGAACACUUUUUUGCUCUUUGUAGUCAACCAGAGUCAUCUUUGUAGACAUUAAAAUCUGACCUUCAAUAAAACCCACACCAGUUUUCUGGAUUAGCCUACAAUAUCUCUAACGAGGAUUGUGGAAUCUAAGGAAGACAGAGGCACUAAGACAAUGCACAAAUUUGAAAUGGGGUCGAUGCGUCGUUGCAUUUUCAGAGAGGGCUCCUCUAUUAAAAGUCUACUUAAUCAUUUCACAUCUUUCACAGUUAACUAAGGAUAAUCCAUGUGAGUGGGUUUUCAUUUGGGAGAAAAAUUGCUCUGGGUCUUGCAGCUUCAGAAUUUAAAUCGCUGCUGAUUUGUAUAGGUGUCAAAUGUGUAACUUUAAUAAAUUCUAUAAGCACUGCCUUCAGCUCAAAACUUUCUUGAUGACAGAGCUGUCUUACACUGAAAUACAGCAGGUAUAAAGCCACCUGUACUUGGGUCAUUCAAAAAAAAAAUACACAUGGAACUUUGCACUUGCUAGGAGAAAUAGCUAAGAAGCAGAGGUCUUUGCGUUAAAAAAGGGCCUGUUGAAGCUUCAAUAGGAGAUCAAGACAGGGAGGAUGGGAGGAGACACUAAGGGGACCCAUACAGAAUCCUCAGGCCAGCUGCCAGAACACCAGAGGCCUACUAUUAAAUACACACAGUGGGACUUUGAAAGUUACAGAUUCAGCUGCUUGAUGGUUUUCAACAGGAUUGUGGGAGCUUUGUUCCCUUUUUAUUUGGUUUCUUUAAAAGAUGAAUGGAAUGAGGGCUUUCCGAGACUUGGGGUAGUCCUCAAACAUCUUGAGGUAGAAUCUAAAAGACAAGAGAGGAAUAAUUAUAAAUACAACCAAGCAGUGGUCAGCGACUGAGGUUUGAUCUGUUUGAAAUCCCUGUUACAAAUCAGCCUGCAGUUAUUCAGGGCCUGCCUCUUCUGGAUGGCCAUCUGUCUUCUUCAUCCCUCCUGCAUCCUAUCUCUUAUAAAUCUUGCAGCUUCUCACGUUGAGAAAUAAAAAGUAAUAGCUGGCGGGGAGGGUUGGGGGGAAUGAAUUGGGAGAUUGGGAUACCAAAUUGUACACUCUAAAUAUAUGCAGUUUAUUGCAUGUUAACUGUAUCUCAAUAAAAUUCUUUUUAAAAAAGGGGGGGGGGGGGCUUCCCUGGUGACACAGUGGUUAAGAAUCUGCCUGCCAGUGCAGGGGACGAGGGUUCGAUCCCUGGGCCAGGAAGAUCCCACAUGCCACGGAGCAACUAAGCCCAUGUGCUACAACUGCUGAAUCUGUGCUCUAGAGCCCUUGGGCUACAACUAUUGAGCCCAUGUGCCACAACUACUAAAGCCCGCGUGCCUAGAGCCUGUGCUCUGUAACAAGAGAAGCCACUGUAAUGAGAAGUCCACACAUCACAAGGAAGAGUAGCCUCUGCUCACCGCAACUAAAGAAAAGCCCGUGCGCAGCAAGGAAGACCCAACGCAGCCAAUAAAUAAACAAAUAUUAAAAAAAAAAAAGUAAUAGCCAGAGGCCAGCGAUGGUGGCUGCACAACAUGAUGAGUGUACCUGAUGCCACUGGAUUAUACACUUAAAAUGGUUAAAAUGGUAACUUUUAUGUUAUUUAUAUUUUACCCAAUAAAAAAUAUAUCUUAGCCAGAAAGAAGUACUCAGUGGAUUCAACAGAGAAGUACAGGGAACAGGAGACCCCAAACAGCAUGGGCAAGGUCAACCCUAAAGAACUGGUCAUGUUCCCAGGAAAAAUCUCCCUUCACAAGGCCUGGGAAUGUCAAGAAAAUGUUACCUUAUAUUACUGGUGGAAUUGUGUUCCCCCUAAAAUAUAUGCUGAAGUUCCAACCUCAGUACCUGAGAACGUGACUUUAUUUUGGAAACAGGGUCAUUGCAAAUA